rnacentral:rRNA from 1 species
ACGCUCGACACCUACGGAGGGCAGCAGUGAGGAAUAUUGGUCAAUGGGCGCAGGCCUGAACCAGCCAAGUAGCGUGAAGGAUGACUGCCCUAUGGGUUGUAAACUUCUUUUAUAUGGGAAUAAAGUUUUCCACGUGUGGAAUUUUGUAUGUACCAUAUGAAUAAGGAUCGGCUAACUCCGUGUCAGCAGCCGCGGUAAUCUGAGCGGGCUGGCAAGGC